rnacentral:rRNA from 1 species
GCAACGACUCUCGGCAACGGAUAUCUCGGCUCUCGCAUCGAUGAAGAACGCAGCGAAAUGCGAUACUUGGUGUGAAUUGCAGAAUCCCGUGAAUCAUCGAGUCUUUGAACGCAAGUUGCGCCCGAAGCCAUUAGGUUAAGGGCACGCCUGCCUGGGCGUCACGC